CUGUAACCGGUACGAUGAGGAUGAGGCCAAUACAGCUCGUGAUGCCCAGGAGAAGUAGCACUCAUCCUUGGCCAGAACUUCUUGAUUCUGCAUGCAGCAGAAGGAGGAUAUUGAAACGGGUCUGACACGCAUGCGCGAACGUUUGGAGGAGUCCGCUCAGCAUUCGCAGACGGUGCAGCGCGUGCAGACUACCAAAAUGAAGGCGGAGGAUUUGCAACAAUACGCCAGCAAUGGCUAGGGCACCGUCUGAAGCGAGCUUGACGAAAGCAAGCUGUAAAACAUGGAGUUGGAGUCGAUAGACAAAUUCUUUUCGGCUUAACAAAAGAAUGCGGUAUCGGCUAUUGAUGGCUCCUAUGAG